UACGAAGGGGGCUAGCGUUGUUCGGAAUUACUGGGCGUAAAGCGCACGUAGGCGGAUAUUUAAGUCAGGGGGUGAAAUCCCCAGAGCUCAACUCUGGAACUGCCCUUUGAUACUGGGUAUCUCGAGUAUGGAAGAGGUGAGUGGAAUUCCGAGUGUAGAGGUGAAAUUCGUAGAUAUUCGGAAGAACACCAGUGGCGAAGGCGACUCGCUGGACAAGUAUUGACGCUGAGGU
rnacentral:rRNA from 1 species